rnacentral:rRNA from 2 species
UACGGAGGGUGCAAGCGUUAAUCGGAAUUACUGGGCGUAAAGCGCGCGUAGGCGGUUGGGAAAGUUGGAUGUGAAAGCCCUGGGCUUAACCUGGGAAUUGCAUCCAAAACUACCCGGCUAGAGUGCAGCAGAGGAUGGUGGAAUUCCCGGUGUAGCGGUGAAAUGCGUAGAUAUCGGGAGGAACAUCAGUGGCGAAGGCGACUGUCUGGGCUGACACUGACGCUGAGGUGCGAAAGCGUGGGGAGCAAACAGG